rnacentral:rRNA from 1 species
GUCGAGGGGCAGCGGAGGCAGUAGCAAUACUGCCUGCCGGCGACCGGCGCACGGGUGAGUAACACGUAUGCAACCUACCCUUGUCAGGGGGAUAAGCCGGAGAGAUCCGGUCUAAUACCGCGUGACAUCGGGUUCUCGCAUGAGAAUUCGAUCAAAGGAUUUAUCCGGACAAGGAUGGGCAUGCGGCGCAUUAGCUAGUUGGCGGGGUAACGGCCCACCAAGGCGACGAUGCGUAGGGGUUCUGAGAGGAAGGUCCCCCACACUGGUACUGAGACACGGACCAGACUCCUACGGGAGGCAGCAGUGAGGAAUAUUGGUCAAUGGGCGCGAGCCUGAACCAGCCAAGUCGCGUGAGGGAAUAAGGUCCUAUGGAUUGUAAACCUCUUUUGUCGGGGAGCAAUGAGCGUCACGUGUGAUGCGUUGACAGUACCCGAAGAAAAAGCAUCGGCUAACUCCGUGCCAGCAGCCGCGGUAAUACGGAGGAUGCGAGCGUUAUCCGGAUUUAUUGGGUUUAAAGGGUGCGUAGGCGGGGAGCCCAACAUAAGCGGUAAAAUCGUGGGGCUCAACCCCAUCCCGCCGUCGAAACUGGUUUUCUUGAGUGGAUGAGAAGUAUGCGGAAUGCGUGGUGUAGCGGUGAAAUGCAUAGA